GUGAGGAAUUUUCCGCAAUGGGCGAAAGCCUGACGGAGCAAUGCCGCGUGAAGGAUGAAGGCCUAUGGGUUGUAAACUUCUUUUCUCAGAAAAGAAUUAUGACGGUAUCUGAGGAAUAAGCAUCGGCUAACUCUGUGCCAGCAGCCGCGGUAAGACAGAGGAUGCAAGCGUUAUCCGGAAUGAUUGGGCGUAAAGCGUCUGUAGGUUGUUUAAAAAGUAUUCUGUCAAAGAUUAGGGCUUAACCCUAGAUAGGCAGAAUAAACUUUUAAGCUAGAGUUUGGUAGAGGCAGAGGAAAUUCCCGGUGGAGCGGUGAAAUGCGUAGAUAUCGGGAGGAACACCAAAGGCGAAGGCACUCUGCUGGGCCAAUACUAACACUGAGAGACGAAAGCGAGGGGAGCAAAUGGGAUUAGAUACCCUUGUAGUCC
rnacentral:rRNA from 1 species